rnacentral:rRNA from 1 species
UACGGGGGGGGCAAGCGUUGUUCGGAAUUACUGGGCGUAAAGGGCUCGUAGGUGGCCAACUAAGUCAGACGUGAAAUCCCCAGGCUUAACCUGGGAACUGCGUCUGAUACUGGAUGGCUUGAAUUCGGGAGAGGGAUGCAGAAUUCCAGGUGUAGCGGUGAAAUGCGUAGAUAUCUGGAGGAACACCGGUGGCGAAGGCGGCAUCCUGGACCGACACUGACGCUGAGGAGCGAAAGCCAGGGUAGCGAACGGG